rnacentral:snRNA from 1 species
CGACUCUGGUUUCUCUUCAUUACGCACAAGCCUUUCGCCUUUUACUAAAGACUUCCGUGGAGAGGAACACUUACGAGUUCAACGUAUUUUUGAAGGGCUUUGCUUCUGGCAGAGCC